GACGAACGCUGGCGGCGUGCUUAGCACAUGCCAGUCGAACGGAAAGGCCCUUCGGGGUACUCGAGUGGCGAACGGGUGAGUAACACGUGGGUGAUCUGCCCUGCACUUUGGGAUAAGCCUGGGAAACUGGGUCUAAUACCGAAUAGGACCACGCGCUUCAUGGUGUGUGGUGGAAAGCUUUUGCGGUGUGGGAUGGGCCCGCGGCCUAUCAGCUUGUUGGUGGGGUAAUGGCCUACCAAGGCGACGACGGGUAGCCGGCCUGAGAGGGUGACCGGCCACACUGGGACUGAGAUACGGCCCAGACUCCUACGGGAGGCAGCAGUGGGGAAUAUUGCACAAUGGGCGCAAGCCUGAUGCAGCGACGCCGCGUGAGGGAUGACGGCCUUCGGGUUGUAAACCUCUUUCAAUAGGGACGAAGCGCAAGUGACGGUACCUAUAGAAGAAGCACCGGCCAACUACGU
rnacentral:rRNA from 1 species